GAUAAACGCUGGCGGCGCACAUAAGACAUGCAAGUCGAACGAACUUAACCUAUUCUUUAGUUUAGGAGCGGUUAGUGGCGGACUGGUGAGUAAUGUGUAAGCAACCUGCCUAUCAGAGGGGGAACAACAGUUAGAAAUGACUGCUAAUACCGCAUAAGCUUGUAGUACCGCAUGGUAUAGCAAGAAAAGGAGCAAUCCGCUAAUAGAUGAGCUUGCGGCUGAUUAGCUAGUUGGUAAGGUAACGGCUUACCAAGGCAACGAUCAGUAGCCGGGCUGAGAGGCUCUGCGGCCACAUUGGGACUGAGAUACGGCCCAGACUCCUACGGGAGGCAGCAGUCGGGAAUAUUGCGCAAUGGAGGAAACUCUGACGCAGUGACGCCGCGUAUAGGAAGAAGGUUUUAGGAUUGUAAACUAUUUUAGUCAGGGAAGAAAAAUGACUGUACCUGAAGAAUAAGCUCCGGCUAACUACGUG
rnacentral:rRNA from 1 species